UUUACCUUUGGAGCCCUAACCUCACUGAAUUCUCUCACUCGUUCAAGAUGCCUCUCUCUCUGCCCUAACCCUCACUGAAAUCUCAUUCGUGAAGCUCAAGAGCUCUCUCUCUCUCUCCCCUCUGUCUAACCAGCGAAGCAAGACCAAGCCACACAUCUCGGCACACAGCAUCAGCGAACAUGGAGGUCUUCUCCACUUUGUUUCUUUCUGAUGGCCGAUUCUAUUUGGUGUGAAAUAAAGCCAAACCUAGGUUGUAUCUCUCUCUCCUUCACAAUUUAAUUCAUGGACGAAUCUAGGGUUUGGGGUAAUUUUUCAUGUAUUUUUCUGUCUAUACUAUGUGAUUUUGGUAUGGGUUUUUAUUUUUUUUCUUUUGGUUUUUCAUCUAUUUUGCACAUUCAAUCCAAGAUUUCAUAUUCAAUCCAUUUAUUUCCAUCUAUUUCUGCCUAUGCCUCAAGAAUCCUUUUCCGCUCCAAGGGCUCUGCAGGUGGUCGAACUAGAAAUAAGUAGGAGUAAGCUUGGUUGUGGCUUCCAUUAAUUUGUAAGAAUAAUCUUGGCUACAGCUUCUAUUUCUGCUUGAAUCUUGUAUUCUUUUCCAAUGGUUCAACUAUUUCUUCGAUUUCAACCCUAAUUGUGACUUUUAUUUGACUGUCUACUUUAUUUUAGUUUUGAUGUUGUGAGUUAGAUCGAUUACGAGAAUAUAAUUUGAUGGUGCGAUUGUGGUUAUAUAUAUAUAUAUAUAUAUAUAUAUAUAUAUAUAUAGAUGUAUAUUUUUACACAUGUAUGAAUUUUUUGUAUUGACAAGAUAUGGGUUUUCAUGCUGAAAAUUGGAGGGUUGGUGGUGGGAAAGAUUAGGGUUUUCAAGGCUAGCAUAUGAUUAGGGGUUGUGCACCAGAUCGAUCCAAUUUCACAAGGUGGAGGUCUCAAGGAAUCGAGUGUCGCGGUCAGGACUAAAAGGGCAAUCCCCUUCACAGAGACAAAGUGGCUCUUUUGUUCCAACUACACACAGAGACAGAGAGAAUGCAUGUCCAUUAAAUACACAAACAAGAGGACUCUUACUAGGACCACACAAAGGAAAAAGGGCCACAAAUUGGUUUACCACAGACAACGAACUACAUACCUGUAUUUGCCCAAUUGAGAGCUAGAGGAAGUGGGAUAGGAGGAUCUCAGAAUCCAAAAAGUACUUGAAAUGAUGUGGGAUAUGGGACAUUUGUAAUGUUGAACAGUGUCAUUUUUUUUCCUGGUAUUUUGCGAUCUGUUGGUGUUAGCUAUUUUUGAACUUUUAAAGAAGAA